rnacentral:rRNA from 1 species
UAUGUGAUCGUCUCUCGCAUAUCAAUAAGCGGAGGAAAAGAAACUAACAAGGAUUCCCCUAGUAACGGCGAGUGAAGCGGGAAGAGCUCAAAUUUGAAAUCUUAAAGGGUUUCCCUUUACGAAUUGUAGUUUAAAGAAGUGUUUUCUGUUGAGGUUUUGGUAAAAGUUCUUUGGAAUAGGACAUCAUAGAGGGUGAGAAUCCCGUAUUUGACCUUUACUUUCAACUUUGUGAUACACUUUCAAAGAGUCGGAUUGUUUGGGAAUGCAGUCCAAAAUGGGUGGUAAAUCUCAUCUAAAGCUAAAUAUUGGCGAGAGACCGAUAGCGAACAAGUACCGUGAGGGAAAGAUGAAAAGAACUUUGAAAAGAGAGUUAAACAGUACGUGAAAUUGUCAAAAGGGAAGCGUUUGACACCAGUGUUGUUUUUCUGAAAAUCAAUUAAAGAACUGUUUAUGCUAAGCUGUUUAGACUUUAUCAGCUAACUGUUUAGUUUUGAGCUUUUCUUUAAUGCACUUUUCAGUUAACAAGUCAACAUCAAUUUCUUUUGCUGUAAAAAAGCUUGAGGAAGGUGGCUUGAGAUUCGUCUUAGGUGUUUAUAGCCUCUUGCCUAUGCAGUCGGAGAGAUUGAGGUCUGCAGCGUAGAUCCUUCGGGGCUAAAUGCAUUUGUGCUAAGUUAUAGCAUUUUAUAGACAACUUGUUGACUAUGAUUUGUCUUGUAGCUUACUCGCUUAUGUUAUUUUACCUACGCUUAGGAUGUUGAUCUGUAGUGCGUGCGC